rnacentral:lncRNA from 1 species
UAUAAGUAUGAACUGAUUCCCGGUGUAGGUUGAGUUUGUCGAGUCCCUCGAGACUCACCUAUAUCGCGAUUCGCUAUCUUGCUUACGACAUAGAGAUGUCACCAUUGACCUGAGGACAUGGUAUGCUUGGUCGAGUCCCUCGAGGGUAUAUCAUCAAAUCAGACUCAUCUUGUAACGAAGGUGUUGACUUAACCGAGCAUCAUGGUUGGUCAAGUCCCUCGAGGCCAUGGUGAUUCGGAGGCCGAACAGGACGGGAAUCA